ACGGUCACCAGGCCCGAAGCAUAGCGACUGAGAAGUGAUCGCCACCCUGGACUGGACCCGCCCAGAUCCUACGGAGGCAGCAGUAGGAAUAUUCGGCAAUGACGAAAGUCUGACCGAGCAACGCCGCGUGAGUGAAGAAGGUUUUCGGAUCGUAAACUCUGUUGUUAGAGAAGAACAAGGACGUUAGUAACUGAACGUCCCCUGACGGUAUCUAACCAGAAAGCCACGGCUAACUACGUGCCAGCAGCCGCGGUAAUACGUAGGUGGCAAGCGUUGUCCGGAUUUAUUGGGCGUAAAGCGAGCGCAGGCGGUUUCUUAAGUCUGAUGUGAAAGCCCCCGGCUCAACCGGGGAGGGUCAUUGGAAACUGGGAGACUUGAGUGCAGAAGAGGAGAGUGGAAUUCCAUGUGUAGCGGUGAAAUGCGUAGAUAUAUGGAGGAACACCAGUGGCGAAGGCGGCUCUCUGGUCUGUAACUGACGCUGAGGCUCGAAAGCGUGGGGUGCAAACAGGAUUAGAUACCCUGGUAGUCCACGCCGUAAACGAUGAGUGCUAAGUGUUGGAGGGUUUCCGCCCUUCAGUGCUGCAGCAAACGCAUUAAGCACUCCGCCUGGGGAGUACGACCGCAAGGUUGAAACUCAAAGGAAUUGACGGGGGCCCGCACAAGCGGUGGAGCAUGUGGUUUAAUUCGAAGCAACGCGAAGAACCUUACCAGGUCUUGACAUCCUUUGACCACUCUAGAGAUAGAGCUUUCCCUUCGGGGACAAAGUGACAGGUGGUGCAUGGUUGUCGUCAGCUCGUGUCGUGAGAUGUUGGGUUAAGUCCCGCAACGAGCGCAACCCUUAUUGUUAGUUGCCAUCAUUUAGUUGGGCACUCUAGCGAGACUGCCGGUGACAAACCGGAGGAAGGUGGGGAUGACGUCAAAUCAUCAUGCCCCUUAUGACCUGGGCUACACACGUGCUACAAUGGGAAGUACAACGAGUCGCUAGACCGCGAGGUCAUGCAAAUCUCUUAAAGCUUCUCUCAGUUCGGAUUGCAGGCUGCAACUCGCCUGCAUGAAGCCGGAAUCGCUAGUAAUCGCGGAUCAGCACGCCGCGGUGAAUACGUUCCCGGGCCUUGUACACACCGCCCGUCACACCACGAGAGUUUGUAACACCCGAAGUCGGUGAGGUAACCUUUUUGGAGCCAGCCGCCUAAGGUGGA
rnacentral:rRNA from 1 species